rnacentral:rRNA from 1 species
UACGAAGGGGGCUAGCGUUGCUCGGAAUCACUGGGCGUAAAGGGUGCGUAGGCGGGCUUUUAAGUCAGGGGUGAAAUCCUGGAGCUCAACUCCAGAACUGCCUUUGAUACUGAAGAUCUUGAGUCCGGGAGAGGUGAGUGGAACUGCGAGUGUAGAGGUGAAAUUCGUAGAUAUUCGCAAGAACACCAGUGGCGAAGGCGGCUCACUGGCCCGGUACUGACGCUGAGGUGCGAAAGCGUGGGGAGCAAACAGG